UGUAAGCGUAUACCAAAGUUGUUGCAGUUAAAACGCUCGUAGUCGGAAUUUGGCAGUUCCGGAUGUGUGCACGUCGUGUGCGCACUUCGCGGGGAUUGCUUUUGUGGUCUUGCGUAGGAUGAGGCACUUUUAUUAGUGAACGUCCUCACGCAACCACUUUUUACUGUGAGAAAAUCAGAGUGCUCAAAGCAGGAAUUUGCCGUGAAUGUAUUAGCAUGGAAUAAUAGAAUAGGACUUGGUUCUAUUUUGUUGGUUUGUUGGGACUGAGUAAUGAUUAAGAGGGACAGUUGGGGGCAUUUGUAUUUCGGUGCUAGAGGUGAAAUUCUUAGAUUACCGAAAGACAAACUGCUGCGAAAGCGUCUGCCAAGGAUGUUUUCAUUGA
rnacentral:rRNA from 1 species